ACGGCUCAGUAACACGUGGACAACCUACCCUCAGCACGGGGAUAAACCCGGGAAACUGGGUAUAAUACCCGAUAGUUCUGGUUUGCUGGAAUGCUUUCAGGACGAAAGCUCCGGCGACUGAGGAUGGGUCUGCGGCCUAUCAGGUAGUAGUGGGUGUAAUGUACCUACUAGCCUACGACGGGUACGGGUCGUGAGAGCGAGAGCCCGGAGAUGGAUUCUGAGACACGAAUCCAGGCCCUACGGGGUGCAGCAGGCGCGAAAACUUUACAAUGCUGGCAACAGCGAUAAGGGGACCUCGAGUGCCAGGAUACAAUCUUGGCUGUCGUAAUGCCUAAAAAGCAUUGCAUAGCAAGGGCCGGGCAAGACCGGUGCCAGCCGCCGCGGUAACACCGGCGGCUCGAGUGGUAACCGCUAUUAUUGGGUCUAAAGGGUCUGUAGCCGGCCGGAUAAGUCUCUUGGGAAAUCCAGCUGCUCAACAGUUGGGCUUUCAGGAGAUACUGUUCGGCUCGAGGCCGGGAGAGGUGAGAGGUACUUCAGGGGUAGGGGUGAAAUCUUGUAAUCCUUGAAGGGCCACCAGUGGCGAAGGCGUCUCACCAGAACGGACCUGACGGCAAGGGACGAAAGCUAGGGGCACGAACCGGAUUAGAUACCCGGGUAGUCCUAGCCGUAAACGAUACUCGCUAGGUGUCAGCCACGGUGCGACCGUGGUUGGUGCCGUAGGGAAGCCGUGAAGCGAGCCACCUGGGAAGUACGGCCGCAAGGCUGAAACUUAAAGGAAUUGGCGGGGGAG
rnacentral:rRNA from 1 species